GACGAACGCUGGCGGCGCGCUUAACACAUGCGAGUCGAACGGAAAGGCCUGCUUUCCCUUGUGGAUUGCGGGUACUCGAGUGGCGAACGGGUGAGUAACACGUGAGUGAUCUGCCCCCAACUUGGGUAUAAGCCUGGGAAACUGGGUCUAAUUCCCGAUAGGACUGCAGGGUGGUGCCUGUGGUGGAAAACGAUUUUCUAGUGGUUGGGGAUGAGCUCGCGGCCUAUCAGCUUGUUGGUGGGGUAAUGGCCUACCAAGGCGGCGACGGGUAGCCGGCCUGGGAGGGUGGACGGCCACAUUGGGACUGAGAUACGGCCCCGACUCCUACGGGAGGCAGCAGUGGGGAAUAUUGCACAAUGGGCGGAAGCCUGAUGCAGCGACGCCGCGUGGGGGAUGACGGCCUUCGGGUUGUAAACUCCUUUCGACCGCGAGGAAGCCACCUGGUUGGAAGGGUGGUGACGGUAGUGGUAGAAGAAGCACCGGCUAACUACGUG
rnacentral:rRNA from 1 species